rnacentral:rRNA from 1 species
UGCAGUCGAGCGGACGGAUGGGAGCUUGCUCCCUGAAGUCAGCGGCGGACGGGUGAGUAACACGUGGGCAACCUGCCUGUAAGACUGGGAUAACUCCGGGAAACCGGGGCUAAUACCGGAUAACUCUUUUCCUCACAUGAGGAAAAGCUGAAAGAUGGUUUCGGCUAUCACUUACAGAUGGGCCCGCGGCGCAUUAGCUAGUUGGUGAGGUAACGGCUCACCAAGGCCACGAUGCGUAGCCGACCUGAGAGGGUGAUCGGCCACACUGGGACUGAGACACGGCCCAGACUCCUACGGGAGGCAGCAGUAGGGAAUCUUCCGCAAUGGACGAAAGUCUGACGGAGCAACGCCGCGUGAGUGAUGAAGGUUUUCGGAUCGUAAAACUCUGUUGUCAGGGAAGAACAAGUACCGGAGUAACUGCCGGUACCUUGACGGUACCUGACCAGAAAGCCACGGCUAACUACGUGCCAGCAGCCGCGGUAAUACGUAGGUGGCAAGCGUUGUCCGGAAUUAUUGGGCGUAAAGCGCGCGCAGGCGGUUCCUUAAGUCUGAUGUGAAAGCCCCCGGCUCAACCGGGGAGGGUCAUUGGAAACUGGGGAACUUGAGUGCAGAAGAGAAGAGUGGAAUUCCACGUGUAGCGGUGAAAUGCGUAGAGAUGUGGAGGAACACCAGUGGCGAAGGCGACUCUUUGGUCUGUAACUGACGCUGAGGCGC